CCCCGACUCUCCGCACACCGCAGCCCCGGGCACCUUCCUUGUACCUCGGGCUACAGAGUGGCUCAGCAGGGCGCUACGUAGAGGUCCUGUCUAUAUUUUGUUCAUCAUAGUUUUUGGCAUUCAUUUUAAUUGCUUCGGAAAGCAUUGCAUUAAGCUUCUCUCUUCCCCAGUGGUUUUGCCUGCUAAAAAUAGAUGAACAAUUGGUCUGAAGCUGCAAGGAAGCCAAGAUGAUGCAAAGGCUCUGUAGAAAAUCUAUGCCAUGGACCCUGAGCUGCGAGAUGACCUAGAUGCGAGAUGACCUAGGUGUGGGCCCAACUCUCUAACUGUCAUUGUCACGUUAAGCAGGCGAUCAAGGCCCCUAUUUCAGGGCCCUUUUGGAUGCCGCCCUGAGUCUGAACCCUGUCCUCUCCGGACCUGGGUUUCAUUUGGUGCAAUGAAAGUGGACACCGGUUUUCAGUGCUGGCUCAGCCAUUUAGCAGCUGGGGAGCUUUGGGGAACUUCUGACCAAGCUAACUGCUUCCGCUCAACUGAAACACGCAAGGGUGGUCACACUGAAAUGCGCUGAUGUGUCUAGAUGACUGU